UACAGAGGGUGCGAGCGUUAAUCGGAAUUACUGGGCGUAAAGCGUGCGCAGGCGGUUUUGUAAGUUUGUCGUGAAAGCCCCGGGCUCAACCUGGGAAUGGCGAUGAAGACUGCAAGGCUUGAAUCUGGCAGAGGGGGGUAGAAUUCCACGUGUAGCAGUGAAAUGCGUAGAGAUGUGGAGGAACACCGAUGGCGAAGGCAGCCCCCUGGGUCAAGAUUGACGCUCAUGCACGAAAGCGUGGGGAGCAAACAGG
rnacentral:rRNA from 1 species